rnacentral:misc_RNA from 1 species
UGUCCCAUUUCUCCCUGUCUU